rnacentral:rRNA from 1 species
GUGAAGCUGGAUUCGCUAGUAAUCGCGCAUCAGCCAUGGCGCGGUGAAUACGUUCCCGGGCCUUGUACGCACCGCCCGUCAAGCCAUGGGAGCCGGGGGUGCUUGAAGUGCGUCGCCGCAAGGCGCGCCCUAGAGCAAAACCGGUGACUGGGGCUAAGUCGUAACAAGGUAUC